rnacentral:rRNA from 1 species
GCCCUUGAGUUUGAUCCUGGCUCAGGAUGAACGCUGGCGGUAUGCUUUACACAUGCAAGUCGUACGAGAGUUUUUAACUCAAGUGGCGGACGGGUGAGUAACACGUAAGAAUUUGCCUUUAGGAGGGGGAUAACAACUGGAAACGGUUGCUAAUACCCCAUAUGCUUUCGAGUAAAAUGGAUUUUCCGCCUAAAGAGAAGCUUGCGGCUGAUUAGCUUGUUGGUGAGGUAAUGGCUCACCAAGGCGACGAUCAGUAUCUGGUUUGAGAGGACGAUCAGACACACUGGAACUGAGACACGGUCCAGACUCCUACGGGAGGCAGCAGUGGGGAAUUUUCCGCAAUGGGCGAAAGCCUGACGGAGCAAUACCGCGUGAGGGAUGACGGCCUAUGGGUUGUAAACCUCUUUUUUCAGGGAGGAAUCAAUGACGUGUACCUGAAGAAUAAGCAUCGGCUAACUCCGUGCCAGCAGCCGCGGUAAGACGGAGGAUGCAAGUGUUAUCCGGAAUCACUGGGCGUAAAGCGUCUGUAGGUGGUCAAAUAAGUCAACUGUUAAAUCUUGAGGCUCAACCUCAAAAUCGCAGUCGAAACUAUUCGACUAGAGUAUAGUAGGGGUAAAGGGAAUUUCCAGUGGAGCGGUGAAAUGCGUAGAGAUUGGAAAGAACACCGAUGGCGAAGGCACUUUACUGGGCUAUUACUAACACUGAGAGACGAAAGCUAGGGUAGCAAAUGGGAUUAGAUACCCCAGUAGUCCUAGCCGUAAACAAUGGAUACUAGAUGUUGAACAGAUCGACCUGUGCAGUAUCAAAGCUAACGCGUUAAGUAUCCCGCCUGGGAAGUAUGCUCGCAAGAGUGAAACUCAAAUGAAUUGACGGGGAAGGCGAAU